UACAGAGGUCCCAAGCGUUGUUCGGAUUCACUGGGUUUAAAGGGUGCGUAGGAGGGCAGGUAAGUCAGUGGUGAAAUCCUAGAGCUUAACUCUAGAACUGCCGUUGAUACUAUCUGUCUUGAAUAUUGUGGAGGUGAGCGGAAUAUGUCAUGUAGCGGUGAAAUGCUUAGAUAUGACAUAGAACACCAAUUGCGAAGGCAGCUCGCUACACAUAUAUUGACUCUGAGGCACGAAAGCGUGGGGAUCAAACAGG
rnacentral:rRNA from 1 species